UACGAAGGGGGCUAGCGUUGCUCGGAAUCACUGGGCGUAAAGGGUGCGUAGGCGGGUCUUUUAAGUCAGGGGUGAAAUCCUGGAGCUCAACUCCAGAACUGCCUUUGAUACUGAGGAUCUUGAGUUCGGGAGAGGUGAGUGGAACUGCGAGUGUAGAGGUGAAAUUCGUAGAUAUUCGCAAGAACACCAGUGGCGAAGGCGGCUCACUGGCCCGGAACUGACGCUGAGACGCGAAAGCGUGGGGAGCAAACAGG
rnacentral:rRNA from 1 species